rnacentral:rRNA from 1 species
UACGAAGGGGGCUAGCGUUGUUCGGAAUUACUGGGCGUAAAGCGCGCGCAGGCGGCUAUCCAAGUCAGUGGUGAAAGCCCGGAGCUCAACUCCGGAACUGCCAUUGAAACUGUUUAGCUUGAGGAUGAGAGAGGUGAGUGGAAUUCCCAGUGUAGAGGUGAAAUUCGUAGAUAUCGGAAGGAACGCCGGUGGCGAAAGCGACGUGCUGGACCUCUUCUGACGCUGAGGCGCGAAAGCCAGGGGAGCAAACGGG